rnacentral:rRNA from 1 species
GUGCCAGCAGCCGCGGUAACACGUAGGGGCCAAGCGUUGUCCGGAUUUAUUGGGCGUAAAGAGCUCGUAGGCGGUUCAGCAAGUCGGGUGUGAAAACUCUGGGCUCAACCCAGAGACGCCACCCGAUACUGCUGUGACUAGAGUCCGGUAGGGGAGUGGGGAAUUCCUGGUGUAGCGGUGAAAUGCACAGAUAUCAGGAGGAACACCGGUGGCGAAGGCGCCACUCUGGGCCGGCACUGACGCUGAGGAGCGAAAGCGUGGGUAGCAAACAGGAUUAGAUACCCUGGUAGUCC